GGCACUACGGUGCUGAAGCAACAAAUGCCCUGCUUCCAGGAAAAGCCUCUAAGCAUCAGGUAACAUCAAAUCGUACCCCAAACCGACACAGGUGGUCAGGUAGAGAAUACCAAGGCGCUUGAGAGAACUCGGGUGAAGGAACUAGGCAAAAUGGUGCCGUAACUUCGGGAGAAGGCACGCUGAUAUGUAGGUGAAGUCCCUCGCGGAUGGAGCUGAAAUCAGUCGAAGAUACCAGCUGGCUGCAACUGUUUAUUAAAAACACAGCACUGUGCAAACACGAAAGUGGACGUAUACGGUGUGACGCCUGCCCGGUGCCGGAAGGUUAAUUGAUGGGGUUAGCGCAAGCGAAGCUCUUGAUCGAAGCCCCGGUAAACGGCGGCCGUAACUAUAACGGUCCUAAGGUAGCGAAAUUCCUUGUCGGGUAAGUUCCGACCUGCACGAAUGGCGUAAUGAUGGCCAGGCUGUCUCCACCCGAGACUCAGUGAAAUUGAACUCGCUGUGAAGAUGCAGUGUACCCGCGGCAAGACGGAAAGACCCCGUGAACCUUUACUAUAGCUUGACACUGAACAUUGAGCCUUGAUGUGUAGGAUAGGUGGGAGGCUUUGAAGUGUGGACGCCAGUCUGCAUGGAGCCGACCUUGAAAUACCACCCUUUAAUGUUUGAUGUUCUAACGUGGACCCGUAAUCCGGGUUGCGGACAGUGUCUGGUGGGUAGUUUGACUGGGGCGGUCUCCUCCUAAAGAGUAACGGAGGAGCACGAAGGUUGGCUAAUCCUGGUCGGACAUCAGGAGGUUAGUGCAAUGGCAUAAGCCAGCUUGACUGCGAGCGUGACGGCGCGAGCAGGUGCGAAAGCAGGUCAUAGUGAUCCGGUGGUUCUGAAUGGAAGGGCCAUCGCUCAACGGAUAAAAGGUACUCCGGGGAUAACAGGCUGAUACCGCCCAAGAGUUCAUAUCGACGGCGGUGUUUGGCACCUCGAUGUCGGCUCAUCACAUCCUGGGGCUGAAGUAGGUCCCAAGGGUAUGGCUGUUCGCCAUUUAAAGUGGUACGCGAGCUGGGUUUAGAACGUCGUGAGACAGUUCGGUCCCUAUCUGCCGUGGGCGCUGGAGAACUGAGGGGGGCUGCUCCUAGUACGAGAGGACCGGAGUGGACGCAUCACUGGUGUUCGGGUUGUCAUGCCAAUGGCACUGCCCGGUAGCUAAAUGCGGAAGAGAUAAGUGCUGAAAGCAUCUAAGCACGAAACUUGCCCCGAGAUGAGUUCUCCCUGACUCCUUGAGAGUCCUGAAGGAACGUUGAAGACGACGACGUUGAUAGGCCGGGUGUGUAAGCGCAGCGAUGCGUUGAGCUAACCGGUACUAAUGAACCGUGAGG
rnacentral:rRNA from 1 species